GAUGAACGCUGGCGGCGUGCCUAAUACAUGCAAGUCGAGCGAACAGACGAGGAGCUUGCUCCUCUGACGUUAGCGGCGGACGGGUGAGUAACACGUGGAUAACCUACCUAUAAGACUGGGAUAACUUCGGGAAACCGGAGCUAAUACCGGAUAAUAUAUUGAACCGCAUGGUUCAACAGUGAAAGACGGUUUUGCUGUCACUUAUAGAUGGAUCCGCGCUGCAUUAGCUAGUUGGUAAGGUAACGGCUUACCAAGGCAACGAUGCGUAGCCGACCUGAGAGGGUGAUCGGCCACACGGGAACUGAGACACGGUCCAGACUCCUACGGGAGGCAGCAGUAGGGAAUCUUCCGCAAUGGGCGAAAGCCUGACGGAGCAACGCCGCGUGAGUGAUGAAGGUCUUCGGAUCGUAAAACUCUGUUAUUAGGGAAGAACAGAUGUGUAAGUAACUAUGCACGUCUUGACGGUACCUAAUCAGAAAGCCACGGCUAACUACGUG
rnacentral:rRNA from 1 species